rnacentral:rRNA from 1 species
GGGAAUAUUGCGCAAUGGAGGAAACUCUGACGCAGUGACGCCGCGUAUAGGAAGAAGGUCUUCGGAUUGUAAACUAUUGUCGUUAGGGAAGAAAAAGGACAGUACCUAAGGAGGAAGCUCCGGCUAACUACGUGCCAGCAGCCGCGGUAAUACGUAGGGAGCAAGCGUUGUUCGGAAUGACUGGGCGUAAAGGGUGCGUAGGCGGUUGUACAAGUUAGAAGUGAAAUACCCAGGGCUUAACUCGGGUGCUGCUUCUAAAACUGUAUGACUUGAGUGCAGUAGAGGUUAGUGGAAUUCCUAGUGUAGCGGUGGAAUGCGUAGAUAUUAGGAGGAACACCAGAGGCGAAGGCGGCUAACUGGACUGCAACUGACGCUGAGGCACGAAAGUGUGGGGAGCAAACAGG